CCUACGGGUGGCAGCAGUGGGGAAUAUUGGGCAAUGGGCGCAAGCCUGACCCAGCAACGCCGCGUGAAGGAAGAAGGCCUUCGGGUUGUAAACUUCUUUUAAGAGGGAAGAGCAGAAGACGGUACCUCUUGAAUAAGCCACGGCUAACUACGUGCCAGCAGCCGCGGUAAUAAGUAGGGGGCAAGCGUGGUCCGGAUUUACUGGGGGUAAAGGGCGUGCAGCGGGGAAGACAAGUCGGAUGUGAAAUCCCGGGGCUGAACCGCGGAACGGCAUGUGAAACCGUUUUUCUUGAGUACCGGAGAGGGCGUCGGAAUUCGUGGUGUAGCGGUGAAAUGCGUAGAUAUAAGGAAGAACACCGGUGGCGAAGGCAGAUGACUGGACGGCAACUGACGGUGAGGCGCGAAAGCGUGGGGAGCAAACAGGAUUAGAUACCCGAGUAGUC
rnacentral:rRNA from 1 species